AAGUCGUAACAAGGUUUCCGUAGAGGAUCAUUAACACGUAUCCAACGUUAAACCCCCCCGUGAACCAACAGUUUUGAUUCAGGGACCUCUGCAUGGAGUGGGCAGCAGCGCGAGGCAAGUGACCUGGCAUUCCUCUGCUUGUUGGUGUCUGAAAGUGUCACUAGCUCUGUAAGAAUGGCGCAGUAACGAUCGCUAGAGGCCGACACGGCCGGCGACCGGGUCGCUGGGCUCACGCCCCCCUAUCACCUUUGCAUGAAAACGGGCCUGCGCUUAAUUGUGCGGCCACCAAACUCGAACAACUGUUAACAAUGGAUAUCUUGGUUCUC
rnacentral:misc_RNA from 1 species